CAGUAGCCGCGGGAAAACGUAGGUGGCAAGCGUUGUCCGGAAUUAUUGGGCGUAAAGGGCUCGCAGGCGGCUUCUUAAGUCUGAUGUGAAAGCCCCCGGCUUAACCGGGGAGGGUCAGUGGAAACUGGGAAACUUGAGUGCAGAAGAGGAGAGUGGAAUUCCACGUGUAGCGGUGAAGUGCGUAGAGAUGUGGAGGAACACCAGUGGCGAAGGCGACUCUCUGGUCUGUAACUGACGCUGAGGAGCGAAAGCGUGGGGAGCGAACAGGAUUAGAUACCCCCGUAGUCCCUGUCUCUUAUAA
rnacentral:rRNA from 1 species